UGCGAAGGGGGCUAGCGUUGCUCGGAAUCACUGGGCGUAAAGCGCACGUAGGCGGCUUCUUAAGUCAGGGGUGAAAUCCUGGAGCUCAACUCCAGAACUGCCUUUGAUACUGAGGAGCUUGAGUCCGGGAGAGGUGAGUGGAACUGCGAGUGUAGAGGUGAAAUUCGUAGAUAUUCGCAAGAACACCAGUGGCGAAGGCGGCUCACUGGCCCGGUACUGACGCUGAGGUGCGAAAGCGUGGGGAGCAAACAGG
rnacentral:rRNA from 1 species